AGUGAACGCUGGCGGUAGGCCUAACACAUGCAAGUCGAACGGCAGCACAGUAAGAGCUUGCUCUUACGGGUGGCGAGUGGCGGACGGGUGAGGAAUACAUCGGAAUCUACUUUUUCGUGGGGGAUAACGUAGGGAAACUUACGCUAAUACCGCAUACGACCUACGGGUGAAAGCAGGGGAUCUUCGGACCUUGCGCGAUUGAAUGAGCGGAUGUCGGAUUAGCUAGUUGGCGGGGUAAAGGCCCACCAAGGCGACGAUCCGUAGCUGGUCUGAGAGGAGGAUCAGCCACACUGGAACUGAGACACGGUCCAGACUCCUACGGGAGGCAGCAGUGGGGAAUAUUGGACAAUGGGCGCAAGCCUGAUCCAGCCAUACCGCGUGGGUGAAGAAGGCCUUCGGGUUGUAAAGCCCUUUUGUUGGGAAAGAAAAGCAGCAGGUUAAUACCCCGCUGUUCUGACGGUACCCAAAGAAUAAGCACCGGCUAACUUCGUG
rnacentral:rRNA from 1 species